ensembl:miRNA
CGCUCGGGCGGAGGUGGCUGAGUGCUGGCUGGCGCCUGACCCACCCCCUCCCGCAG